AUUAGAUACCCGCGUAGUCCCAGCCGUAAACUAUGUGCGUUUAAGGUGUGUCGGUAACCACGCGUUACUGAUGCGCCGAAGNGAAAUCGUGAAACGCACCACCUGGGAAGUACGGUCGCAAGGCUGAACUUAAGGAUUGCGGGGAGCACCACAACAGGUGGAGCCUGCGGUUUAAUUGGAUUCAACGCCGGACAUCUCACCGGAUAAGACAGCUGAAUGAUUGUCAAUCUGAAGGUUUUACAUGACUAGCUG
rnacentral:rRNA from 1 species